rnacentral:rRNA from 1 species
AACAAACGCUGGCGGCGUGCCUAAUACAUGCAAGUCGAACGGGGAAAGUAGCAAUACGAGUACUAGUGGCGCACGGGUGAGGAAUACAUGGGUAAUCUGCCCUCAAGUUUGGGAUAACCAGUCGAAAGAUUGGCUAAUACCGGAUAUGACCACAAGAUCUGCGGAUCAAGGGGUAAAAGUUUUUCGCUUGAGGAUGAGCCCAUGUGGGAUUAGCUAGUUGGUGAGGUAAUGGCUCACCAAGGCUACGAUCCCUAACUGGUCUUAGAGGAUGAUCAGUCACACUGGAACUGAGACACGGUCCAGACUCCUACGGGAGGCAGCAGUAGGGGAAUAUUGCACAAUGGGGGGAAACCCUGAUGCAGCGACGCCGCGUGAGUGAUGAAGGCCUUCGGGUCGUAAAGCUCUGUCGUAUGGGAAUAACAAAAUGAAUGUACCAUGCAAGAAAGGAUCGGCUAACUUCGUGCCAGCAGCCGCGGUAAU